rnacentral:rRNA from 1 species
UUAACGUGGAGAUUUUACGCUGAACUUAAGCAUAUCACUAAGCGGAGGAAAAGAAACUAACCAGGAUUCCCUUAGUAACGGCGAGUGAACAGGGAAAAGCCCAGCACCGAAGCCUGUGGUCGUUUGGCCCCUAGGCAAUGUGGUGUUCAGGUUAGCUCGCGAAGAUGCUGCUCCACCCUAAGUCCUAUAAUGAGUAAGGUUACUCGGACAUGGCCCAAUGAGGGUGAAAGGCCCGUGGGGGUGGAGAUUCAGAAUGGCCAGUAUCUUCCUGAGCGGACCUUGGAGUCGGGUUGUUUGUGAAUGCAGCCCAAAGCGGGUGGUAAACUCCAUCCAAGGCUAAAUACUAGCACGAGUCCGAUAGCGAACAAGUACCGUGAGGGAAAGUUGAAAAGUACUUUGAAGAGAGAGUAAACAGUGCGUGAAACCGUUCAGAGGUAAACAGGUGGAGUUGAACUGCAAGCUCUGAGGAUUCAGCUGGUGAGUAUGGCAUGAGCUUGGUCAUAUUGGUUGUGUGCUCGGGUCUGCUUAGCUGCAGGUCUCCGCUUCGGUGGGGAUGCGCGAAUCACUCAUCAGGUGUGUGCGCUCGAUUUUCACUCUC